rnacentral:rRNA from 1 species
GACGAACGCUGGCGGCGUGCCUAAUACAUGCAAGUCGAACGGACCGCGACUAGGUGCUUGCACUUGGUCAAGGUGAGUGGCGAACGGGUGAGUAACACGUGGGUAACCUACCUCAUAGUGGGGGAUAACAGUCGGAAACGACUGCUAAUACCGCAUAGGACAUAGGAUCACAUGAUUCUGUGAGGAAAGGUGGCGCAAGCUAUCGCUAAGAGAUGGACCCGCGGUGCAUUAGCUAGUUGGUAGGGUAAAGGCCUACCAAGGCGAUGAUGCAUAGCCGACCUGAGAGGGUGAUCGGCCACAUUGGGACUGAGACACGGCCCAAACUCCUACGGGAGGCAGCAGUAGGGAAUCUUCCGCAAUGGACGCAAGUCUGACGGAGCAACGCCGCGUGAGUGAAGAAGGUCUUCGGAUCGUAAAGCUCUGUUGUUAGAGAAGAACAGCGCAUAGAGUAACUGUUAUGCGUGUGACGGUAUCUAACCAGAAAGCCACGGCUAACUACGUG